UAAUGGCUCACCAAGGCGACGAUCCCUAGCUGGUCUGAGAGGAUGAUCAGCCACACUGGAACUGAGACACGGUCCAGACUCCUACGGGAGGCAGCAGUGGGGAAUAUUGCACAAUGGGCGCAAGCCUGAUGCAGCCAUGCCGCGUGUGUGAAGAAGGCCUUCGGGUUGUAAAGCACUUUCAGUCGUGAGGAAGGUGGUGUAGUUAAUAGCUGCAUUAUUUGACGUUAGCGACAGAAGAAGCACCGGCUAACUCCGUGCCAGCAGCCGCGGUAAUACGGAGGGUGCGAGCGUUAAUCGGAAUUACUGGGCGUAAAGCGCAUGCAGGUGGUUUGUUAAGUCAGAUGUGAAAGCCCGGGGCUCAACCUCGGAAUAGCAUUUGAAACUGGCAGACUAGAGUACUGUAGAGGGGGUAGAAUUUUCAGGUGU
rnacentral:rRNA from 1 species